rnacentral:rRNA from 1 species
UACGUAGGGUGCGAGCGUUAAUCGGAAUUACUGGGCGUAAAGCGUGCGCAGGCGGUUUUGUAAGCCAGAUGUGAAAUCCCCGGGCUUAACCUGGGAAUGGCAUUUGGGACUGCAAGGCUGGAGUGCGGCAGAGGAGACUGGAAUUCCUGGUGUAGCAGUGAAAUGCGUAGAUAUCAGGAGGAAUACCGAUGGCGAAGGCAGGUCUCUGGGCUGACACUGACGCUCAUGCACGAAAGCGUGGGAGC